rnacentral:rRNA from 1 species
GACAGAGGGGGGCAAGCGUUGCUCGGAAUACUGGGCGUAAAGCGCGUGUAGGCGGCUUGGCAAGUCGGGUGUGAAAGCCCUGGGCUCAACCUAGGAAGUGCACUCGAAACUGCUUCGCUUGAGUGUCGGAGAGGAAAGCGGAAUUCUCGGUGUAGAGGUGAAAUUCGUAGAUAUCGAGAGGAACACCGGUGGCGAAGGCGGCUUUCUGGACGAUAACUGACGCUGAGACGCGAAAGCGUGGGGAGCAAACAGG